rnacentral:rRNA from 1 species
GGCCAAUUCUGCACUGUGCAGUUUGCCGGUGUUGAGUUUGGUCAUCCGUAAGGGAAGCCAGUUCGGCCUUCACUGGUCGGCUGGGGGAACUUACAAUUUACUGUGAAAAAAUUAGAGUGUUUCAGGCAGGCAAUCGCUUGGAUACUCCAGCAUGGAAUAAGGGUUUCUUAUGAAAUCAAGUUUGAGUCAUUUAGAAAUAUCAAUCUAUUCACCUUGCCUCCUACCUUCGGUUCGCAUCCUGUUUUAUUUGGAUCCAUCCUUUUGAACACAAUAAGUCAAGUCAAUGAAUUUCUCCAGCAUCCCUAAUGGAAUAGGACUUUGGUCUAUUUAUUGGUUUGAGAUCAAAGUA